GCAGUAGCCGCGGGAACACGUAGGUGGCAAGCGUUAUCCGGAAUUAUUGGGCGUAAAGCGCGCGUAGGCGGUUUUUUAAGUCUGAUGUGAAAGCCCACGGCUCAACCGUGGAGGGUCAUUGGAAACUGAAAAACUUGAGUGCAGAAGAGGAAAGUGGAAUUCCAUGUGUAGCGGUGAAAUGCGCAGAGAUAUGGAGGAACACCAGUGGCGAAGGCGACUUUCUGGUCUGUAACUGACGCUGAUGUGCGAAAGCGUGGGGAUCAAACAGGAUUAGAUACCCCUGUAGUCCCUGUCUCUUAUAC
rnacentral:rRNA from 1 species